rnacentral:rRNA from 1 species
AACGAACGCUGGCGGCAUGCCUAACACAUGCAAGUCGAACGAGAACUUCGGGUCUAGUGGCGCACGGGUGCGUAACGCGUGGGAACCUGCCCUUAGGUUCGGAAUAACUCCCCGAAAGGGGUGCUAAUACCGGAUAAUGUCUUCGGACCAAAGAUUUAUCGCCUUUGGAUGGGCCCGCGUUGGAUUAGCUAGUUGGUAGGGUAAAAGCCUACCAAGGCGACGAUCCAUAGCUGGUCUGAGAGGAUGAUUAGCCACACUGGGACUGAGACACGGCCCAGACUCCUACGGGAGGCAGCAGUGGGGAAUAUUGGACAAUGGGCGAAAGCCUGAUCCAGCAAUGCCGCGUGAGUGAUGAAGGCCUUAGGGUUGUAAAGCUCUUUUACCCGGGAUGAUAAUGACAGUACCGGGAGAAUAAGCUCCGGCUAACUCCGUG